rnacentral:rRNA from 1 species
UACGGAGGGUGCAAGCGUUAUCCGGAUUCACUGGGUUUAAAGGGAGCGUAGGCGGGUUGGUAAGUCCGUGGUGAAAUCUCACAGCUCAACUGUGAAACUGCCGUUGAUACUGCUUUUCUUGAGUUCGGGAGAGGUUGAUGGAAUUCCAGGUGUAGCGGUGAAAUGCGUAGAGAUCGGGAGGAACAUCAGUGGCGAAGGCGGCCAUCUGGGACAACACUGACGCUGAGGCACGAAAGCGUGGGGAGCAAACAGG